AUAGCAGCAACAGCCUUUUGGCUAAGAUCAAGUGUAGUAUCUAUUCUUAUUAGUUUAAUAUCUGAUACGUCCUCUGUCCACUCAAAAUUUAAUUGCCCGUAUGUAUGUAUGUAUGUAUGUAUGUAUGUAUGUAUGUAUGUAUGUGUAGGGAAAGCUGUAGCCACGCCUACUUAGGGUCUGGCUACAGAUGUGCCUGACCACGC
rfam:Cricetulus griseus cell line CHO-K1, whole genome shotgun sequence.